rnacentral:rRNA from 1 species
GAUGAACGCUGGCGGCGUGCCUAAUACAUGCAAGUCGAGCGAACAGACGAGGAGCUUGCUCCUUUCUCGUUAGCGGCGGGCGGGUGAGUAACACGUGGAUAACCUACCUCUCAGACUGGGAUAACUUCGGGAAACCGGAGCUAAUACCGUAUAAUAUAUUGAACCGCAUGGUUCUAUAGUGAAAGUCUGUUUUUCUGUUGCUUAUACAUGCAUCCGCGCCGCAUUAGCUAGUUUGUCAGGUAACGGCUUACCAAGGCAACCAAGCGUAGCCGACCUUAGGGGGUGAUCGGCCACCCUGGAACUGGAUCAGCGUCCAGACUACUGCGGGAUGCAGCAGAAGGGAACCUUACGCAGUAGGCGGGAGCCUUGCGGAGUGAGGCCGCGUGAGAUGUAACGGUCUUCGGAUCGUAAAACUCUGUUAUUAGGGAUAAACAAAUGUGUAAGUAAAUGUGCACGUAUUGACGGUACCUACUCAGAAAGCCACGGCUAACUACGUG